AUUGAACGCUGGCGGCAGGCCUAACACAUGCAAGUCGAGCGGAAGAAGGGAGCUUGCUCCUGGAUUCAGCGGCGGACGGGUGAGUAAUGCCUAGGAAUCUGCCUGGUAGCGGGGGAUAACGUCCGGAAACGGGCGCUAAUACCGCAUACGUCCUGAGGGAGAAAGGGGGGGAUCUUCGGACCUCACGCUAUCACAUGAUCCUAGGUCGGAUUAGCUAGUUGGUGGGGUAAAGGCCUACCAAGGCGACGAUCCGUAACUGGUCUGAGAGGAUGAUCAGUCACACUGGAACUGAGACACGGUCCAGACUCCUACGGGAGGCAGCAGUGGGGAAUAUUGGACAAUGGGCGAAAGCCUGAUCCAGCCAUGCCGCGUGUGUGAAGAAGGUCUUCGGAUUGUAAAGCACUUUAAGUGGGGAGGAAGGGCAGUAAGUUAAUACCUUGCUGUUCUGACGUUACCAACAGAAUAAGCACCGGCUAACUUCGUG
rnacentral:rRNA from 1 species